AAGAUGAAUUGAUUGUUGCUGGCUAGGUGAUUCUAGCAUGUGCACAUCUUAUUACCAACUUUCACACCUGUGCACCUAUUGUAGAUUCCUAGUGGAUCUAUGUUUUUUUAUUACACUAUAUUAAGAAUGUCUUCUAUUAUA
rnacentral:misc_RNA from 1 species